rnacentral:rRNA from 1 species
GACAUAGGUGGCGAACGUUAUCCGGAAUUACUGGGUGUAAAGGGUUCGUAGGCGGUGCGGCAAGUCGGGAGUGAAAUCUCUGGGCUUAACCCAGAGGCUGCUUCCGAAACUGCUGUGCUUGAGUGUGGGAGAGGCGCGUGGAAUUGCAGGUGUAGCGGUGAAAUGCGUAGAUAUCUGCAGGAACACCCGUGGCGAAAGCGGCGCGCUGGACCACUACUGACGCUGAGGAACGAAAGCUAGGGGAGCAAACAGG